UACGUAGGGUGCAAGCGUUAAUCGGAAUUACUGGGCGUAAAGCGUGCGCAGGCGGUUUUGUAAGUCAGAUGUGAAAUCCCCGGGCUUAACCUGGGAACUGCGUUUGAAACUACAAGGCUAGAGUGUGGCAGAGGGGGGUGGAAUUCCACGUGUAGCAGUGAAAUGCGUAGAGAUGUGGAGGAACACCGAUGGCGAAGGCAGCCCCCUGGGGUUAACACUGACGCUCAGGCACGAAAGCGUGGGGAGCAAACAGG
rnacentral:rRNA from 1 species